AGAGAGAGACAUGCGCGCAUAUCAAUAAGCGGAGGGAAAAGAAACUAACAAGGAUUCCCCUAGUAACGGCGAGUGAAGCGGGAAGAGCUCAAAUUUGAAAUCUUAAAGGGUUUCCCUUUACGAAUUGUAGUUUAAAGAAGUGUUUUCUGUUGAGGUUUUGGUAAAAGUUCUUUGGAAUAGGACAGUCAUAGAGGGUGAGAAUCCCGUAUUUGACCUUUACUUUCAACUUUGUGGAUACACUUUCAAAGAGUCGGAUUGUUUGGGAAUGCAGUCCAAAAUGGGUGGUAAAUUUCAUCUAAAGCUAAAUAUUGGCGAGAGACCGAUAGCGAACAAGUACCGUGAGGGAAAGAUGAAAAGAACUUUGAAAAGAGAGUUAAACAGUACGUGAAAUUGUCAAAAGGGAAGCGUUUGACACCAGUGUUGUUUUUCUGAAAAUCAAUUAAAGAACUGUUUAUGCUAAGCUUGUUUAGACUUUAUCAGCUAAUCUGUUUAGUUUUGAGCUUUUCUUUAAUGCACUUUUCAGUUAACAAGUCAACAUCAAUUUCUUUUGCUGUAAAAAAGCUUGAGGAAGGUGGCUUGAGAUUCGUCUUAAGUGUUUAUAGCCUCUUGCCUAUGCAGUCGGAGAGAUUGAGGUCUGCAGCGUAGAUCCUUCGGGGCUAAAUGCAUUUGUGCUAAGUUAUAGCAUUUUAUAGACAACUUGUUGACUAUGAUUUGUCUUGUAGCUUACUCGCUUAUGUUAUUUUACCUACGCUUAGGAUGUUGACGCAUGAGAUAUACGC
rnacentral:rRNA from 1 species